AGCAUGGUGGCGCAGCGGUAGCAUUACCGACUAAGAAUCAGACGACCCGUGUUCAAUUCCUGCCGUCACGGUG
rnacentral:tRNA from 1 species